GUGGGGAAUCUUGCGCAAUGGGCGAAAGCCUGACGCAGCCAUGCCGCGUGAAUGAUGAAGGUCUUAGGAUUGUAAAAUUCUUUCACCGGGGACGAUAAUGACGGUACCCGGAGAAGAAGCCCCGGCUAACUUCGUGCCAGCAGCCGCGGUAAUACGAAGGGGGCUAGCGUUGCUCGGAAUUACUGGGCGUAAAGGGCGCGUAGGCGGACAGUUUAGUCAGAGGUGAAAGCCCAGGGCUCAACCUUGGAAUUGCCUUUGAUACUGGCUGUCUUGGGGACGGGAGAGGUGAGUGGAACUCCGAGUGUAGAGGUGAAAGUCGUAGAUAUUCGGAAGAACACCAGUGGCGAAGGCGACUCACUGGCCCGUUACUGACGCUGAGGCGCGAAGGCGUGGGGAGCAAACAGGAUUAGAAACCCCUGUAGUCC
rnacentral:rRNA from 1 species